rnacentral:rRNA from 1 species
UACAGAGGUGGCAAGCGUUGUUCGGAAUUACUGGGCGUAAAGGGCGCGUAGGCGGCCCGUCAAGUCCCGUGUGAAAGCCCCCGGCUCAACCUGGGAAUUGCAUUCGAGACUGCAUUGCUGGAGUACGGAAGAGGAAGGCGGAAUUCCCGGUGUAGCGGUGAAAUGCGCAGAUAUCAGGAGGAACACCGGUGGCGAAGGCGGUUCUCUGGGCAUGUCCUGACGCUGAGGAGCGAAAGUGUGGGGAGCGAACAGG